AAAAUGAAGCCUUUUGACCUUCGUAUAUCCUCGAUAAUAUGGUUCGAGAGUCUCUACCGGGAUGCCGUGAAUGUCCUGACUAUGAAGGCAGAUUUAGCGUAU
rnacentral:ncRNA from 1 species